rnacentral:rRNA from 1 species
GACGAACGCUGGCGGCGUGCUUAACACAUGCAAGUCGAACGGAAAGGCCCUGCUUUUGUGGGGUGCUCGAGUGGCGAACGGGUGAGUAACACGUGAGUAACCUGCCCUUGACUUUGGGAUAACUUCAGGAAACUGGGGCUAAUACCGGAUAGGAGCUCCUGCUGCAUGGUGGGGGUUGGAAAGUUUCGGCGGUUGGGGAUGGACUCGCGGCUUAUCCGCUUGUUGGUGGGGUAGUGGCUUACCAAGGCUUUGACGGGUAGCCUGCCUGAGAGGGUGACCAGCCACAUUGGGACUGAGAUACGGCGCAGACUCCUACGGGAGGCAACAGUGGGGAGUAUGGCACAAUGGGCGGAAGCCUGAGGCAGCAACGCCGCGUGCGGGAUGACGGCCUUCGGGUUGUAAACCGCUUUCGCCUGUGACGAAGCGUGAGUGACGGUAAUGGGUAAAGAAGCACCGGCUAACUACGUG